UAGUCCGACUUUGUGAAAUGACUUGAGAGGUAUAGGAUAAGUGGGAGCCCUCGGGCAAAAGUGAAAUACCACUACUUUUAACAGCUUUCACCCUUCUAGGGUUUAACCGUGUUUUUCAGUAGAUUGGGGAAUGCUAUAAUAUGUUAGGAAUAGAAAAUACACAUAUUCUUCCACCCAUGCAUCUCCAAUCCAAAAGCUGAUCUGCAAGUCAUUAAUUAGGUAAUGAAUAACCAAUUGAGAUCCAUAUGGAAACAUAGUCACAUAGG
rnacentral:ncRNA from 1 species